GGCUUGGUGGUGGGUGGUCCACAUCUGUUUCUGCUUCGCAAGCGAGUGUCAAGGUUUAAGCAGAAAGAGUCUGUUCAAUUCAGGCCUAAGUCA